rnacentral:rRNA from 1 species
CUACUGUUCUUAACAGCUAGCCCCUCCCCCCAAAAACAACAACCAACAUUAAUAACCCCUUAUUUCCUAAAAGUACAUAAACAAAUCAUUUUACCCCCUUAGUAUGGGCGACAGAAAAGGACCAAGGCGCAAUAGAAAAAGUACCGCAAGGGAAAGCUGAAAGAGAAAUGAAACAACCCAGUAAAGAUUAAUAAAGCAGAGACAUAACCUCGUACCUUUUGCAUCAUGACUUAGCUAGUCCCCCUCAAGCAAAGUGCCCUUUAGUUUGAAGCCCCGAAACUGAGCGAGCUACUCCAAGGCAGCCUAUUUAGGGCAAACCCGUCUCUGUAGCAAAAGAGUGGGAAGAUCUUUGAGUAGAGGUGACAGACCUACCGAGCCCAGUUAUAGCUGGUUGCCUAUAAAAUGAAUAGAAGUUCAGCCUUUAAACUUCUUUUAUCCACAAUGUUUUUACUAUACGUGAAACCGAGAAGCUUAAAGAGUUAUUCAAAGGGGGAACAGCCCCUAUGAAAAAAGAUACAACUUUAGUGGCAGGCUAAAGAUCAUAACCGCACAAGGAAUUAUAUUUUAGUGGGCCUAAAAGCAGCCACCCAUAAAGAAAGCGUUAAAGCUCAAAUAUAAAAACCCCAUAAUUUCGACCACACCAUCUUAAGCCACCAUAGCAAUAAUAGGCCUUUUCAUGUUAACAUGAAAGAGAAACUGCUAUUAUGAGUAAUAAGAGGACUGCUCCUCUCCAUAACAUCUGUGUAUAUCAGAACGAACCCCCACUGAAAAUUAACGCUCCCAACUCCAACGAGGGCAUUGGGUUACCCCAGCAUACACUAGAAAGCCCCCCAAAAACAAGCGUUAACCCUACACAGGAGUGUUUUAGGAAAGACUAAAAGAAAAAGAAGGAACUCGGCAAACACUGGCCUCGCCUGUUUACCAAAAACAUCGCCUCUUGCACAAUAAACUAAAGUAUAAGAGGUCCCGCCUGCCCUGUGACACAAUAGUUUAACGGCCGCGGUAUUUUGACCGUGCGAAGGUAGCGUAAUCACUUGUCUUUUAAAUGGAGACCUGUAUGAAUGGCAUAACGAGGGCUAAGCUGUCUCCUUUUUCUAGUCAAUGAAAUUGAUCUUCCCGUGCAGAAGCGGGAAUACACACAUAAGACGAGAAGACCCUAUGGAGCUUAAAACACAAGGCAGAUCACGUAAAACCACCCAUAUUAAAGGAGAUAACAAAAUGAAUCCUGCCCUUAUGUUUUUGGUUGGGGCGACCGCGGGGCAACAAAAAUCCCCCACGUGGAAUGGAGGACUUCUCCCUAAAACAAGAGCCACAGCUCAAACAAGCAGAACAUCUGACCAACAAGAUCCGGCUCAUAGGCCGAUCAACGGACCGAGUUACCCUAGGGAUAACAGCGCAAUCCCCUUUUAGAGCCCAUAUCGACAAGGGGGUUUACGACCUCGAUGUUGGAUCAGGACAUCCUAAUGGUGCAGCCGCUAUUAAGGGUUCGUUUGUUCAACGAUUAAAGUCCUACGUGAUCUGAGUUCAGACCGGAGAAAUCCAGGUCAGUUUCUAUCUAUGAGUGCUCUUUUCUAGUACGAAAGGACCGAAAAGAGGGGGCCCAUGCUUUAGGUAUGCCCCACCCUUACCUGGUGAAGACAACUAAAGCAGGUAAAAGGACAACCCAUCCAGCCUAAGAAAAAGGCAU